GUGGGUGUAUUUGUAAAAAUGUUCCUGUGCUUUGUCAUAGGCCAUUUCUAUUCUUCAGUGCUACUUUUUAUUUCAUUCUGUCAUGAAAUGAUAUGUCAAUGUGUCAUGAUUUUAUGAUUUUUGGUUACUGGCAUUCCACAUCAUAACAUCAUGUAGUGCACUGGGAGUUAAAGAGUUAAUGCUCCAGUUCUGGGCACCUGUCCGGAAGAGAAGAAGAACUACAUUCCCCAGAGGACUGCUGUUUUGUUAUCAUUCCUGCCUGGGGGAACGCAUUUAAGGCUUCAGUAUGUUACUUGAUGUCCCUCUUUUUGAUCGUCAGGCUCUCUCGCUGCUGCUCGUCCUGACUGCAUACCAUUCUUGGUCAACAUCUAAAUGGAUUUCUCUUUAUGUAAAUUUUGCACAGAAAUGGAUGAAGGAAUUACUUUACUUCAGCUACGUCUUGGUCUUACCCAAGAUAUCUUUUGAUAUCUUGAUCUUUUCCUCUGAAGUACACUCCUUCAGAUGUUCUACACAAUUGCAAAUCAAUUGUUUAUUAUGCGUCCCUGGGCAGUUAAACUGAUCAAUAUCUCAGUUUCAUCUUUGUAUGUACAUUGCGGAAGAAAAUUUUCCUUUCCUCAUGUGAGUUGAAAGAACUGUUUGCUCUUUGUCAUUUCAUCCUCUCUGCUCUAGAGAGUGAGAGAAAAUUAUAGAGAAUGUUGACUAAAACCAUAAAGAUAUAUAAAGCCAACAUGACACCAACAACAUAGUUUAAAAUCCUUAAGAUGACAGCUCAUUUCUGAAAAUUCAGAAAUGCUUAAAUCUGCACACACGAUGAAGUGAAUAAAUGAAUGAGGUGAAAGAACUUUGGAAGGACCAAGUUGCUGAAGGAGAGAACUCUGAGAUCAUUUUGCACUGCAAAGGAAACAAUCCCUUGUCACCCCUUGCUUCCAGCAGAUGUCUGUCUUUCAAUUUCUGUUUAAUCUUUAAAUCUUUAAAAAUUGAAAAAUUGAUGAAAUUCUCUACGUUUCAAUCUGCCCUGAGAAGAUUUUCUUGAUUUUAAACCAAGACAGUAUGUUCUAACCAGCCUGAUGGUUCACAUGAAAUAUGAGACACGCGGG
ensembl:lncRNA